rnacentral:tRNA from 1 species
UAGGAUUUGGUGUAGUUGGUGGCACUAAGAAUUUUGAAUUCUUAGGGGUAGGUUCAAGUCCUAUAAUCCUAG